rnacentral:rRNA from 1 species
AUUGAACGCUGGCGGCAUGAUUUACACAUGCAAAUCGAACGGUAACAGGCCGCAAGGUGCUGACGAGUGGCGAACGGGUGAGUAAUGCAUCGGAACGUGCCCAGUCGUGGGGGAUAACUACUCGAAAGAGUAGCUAAUACCGCAUACGAUCUAUGGAUGAAAGCGGGGGACCGUAAGGCCUCGCGCGAUUGGAGCGGCCGAUGUCAGAUUAGGUAGUUGGUGGGGUAAAGGCUCACCAAGCCAACGAUCUGUAGCUGGUCUGAGAGGACGACCAGCCACACUGGGACUGAGACACGGCCCAGACUCCUACGGGAGGCAGCAGUGGGGAAUUUUGGACAAUGGGCGCAAGCCUGAUCCAGCAAUGCCGCGUGCAGGAAGAAGGCCUUCGGGUUGUAAACUGCUUUUGUACGGAACGAAACGGCUCUGGUUAAUACCCGGGGCUAAUGACGGUACCGUAAGAAUAAGCACCGGCUAACUACGUG